UUAAGUUCAGCGGGUAUUCCUACCUGAUCCGAGGUCAACCUUAUAAAAAAUAGGGGGGUGUUUUACGGCAGGGGACCGGCUCAUCUCUACAGGCGAGAAUAAAAUCUUUACUACGCCUAGAGUGUGAACCGACUCCGCCACUAACUUUAAGGAGCUACAGCAAAGAAUGCGGUAGGCUCCCAACACUAAGCAACAGAGGC
rnacentral:misc_RNA from 1 species